rnacentral:lncRNA from 1 species
UUUUAUUUUCCAUUAAAUUCUUUCCAUCAGGCAGGUACAGUGCGGAGUUCUUUUUAGUUUCAUUAUCUUACUGAUUUCUAAGAAACUGUGUACUAAAUAUUAGUAUUUAUGAAACAGUAAGAAAAACAUAGCCAAACAGAGUAAUCAGGAAUGAAAGUCCAUAGUAAGUGGGUGUACCUUUGUUAAAAUCCAGUUCAGUGAGAUUCAAAGCCUCUAUUCAAAGCUAUUAUACCAAUAUUUCCUAAAUUCCUGUGAGUAUACAUCCCUUUUUGAGAAAAAAAAUUAAAUCAUGCCUGAUCCCACCUCCAUGCAAAAAAAAUUUAAAGGAAAAACAAUUUUUAUUUUUAUGAAAUUCAUAUAGCUACUAGUAGACGAUUUUUUCCUUUUUUAAACAAGACUGGGCAGAAAAGGAUUCACAUCCUUAGUUCAACGAAGGUUCCUUCCUGAAAUUUAGCACAGAAAACAUCUCUAAAAGUCAAACUUGCUGGACAAAAGAAGAGUCAGAUAAGUUAAUUUUAUAGAUCUACAUCUAUCUAUAUGUGUCUUUUUUUUUCCCACUGUGUUUGCAAAAGACUACUUGUUCUUUCACUUAAACCACAAACUGCUCCAAGUCAACGAGCCAGCCAGAGAAGACUGUUUCAUGUCUAAUCAGAUAAAAUGGGAGAUAAUACAUUCAUAAUGUUUAUAAAAUUCCUAUAAAUUGUGAUUUACCAAUGUCUGAUUUUCCAAAGUUGUAUGAAAAUUUUGUCUCUCAAACUUAUUUAAGAACUUCCUGUAACUUUCCCAUGCCAAAAACCUUUCCCAAAGAACCACAUAAAACAGCUUUUGCUUACAAUGAAAUCUCAUGUGUGGACUGGCCAUUUCCUGUUUGUGAUACUCUUUUAACUCAAAUGCAUUGAAAAAUCUCCAUCGUUCACAUAAAUCCACUCUAAUAUUUCAUGUAGCAAAUGAAAGAAGACAAUGAAAUAAAUUCUGUAAGAAAUGAUCAAUAUCUAAUUUAUUUUUAACUUCAUAGAGUUAGACUCAUUUAUUUAAUUUCCUUAAUUUGUUCAUAAAUUUUUAUGAAGGAUAAAUAUAUGACAACAUUGCAAGAUAUAAAAGAAUCCAGCAACAAUCAAGCAGAAGUUCCUUUAUACAUACUACAGAUUUAAAGUCAUGUAUUAAUGCAUUUCACUGAUAUAUCUCAAGCACCUACAACAGUACCAGGUAUAUAAUAGGCACUCAAAAAGCAAUUAUGAGCAAAUUAAAGCAAUGAAUGGGGACACCUGGGUGGCUCAGUGGUUGAGAAUCUGCCUUUGGCUCAGGGCUUGAUCCUGGAGUUCCAGGAUGGAGUCCCACAUGGGGCUCCCUGUAUGGAGCCUGCUUCUCUCUCUGCCUGUGUCUCUGCCUCUUUGUGUCUCUCAUGAAUAAAUAAAAUCUUAAAACAAAUAAAGCAAUGAAUGACUUUUUCAUUGUUCUUGGCAUUCUUGACUGAUCAUUCUAUUUCUAAAGAAAAAGUACUAACAGUAGGGACUAUUUAAGUUUAUUUAGUGAUUUUCUUACAUACAGUUUCUAAUAUAUUUUUAAAGAAAUAAUGUCCUUAACAUUUAUCUUUCAUGUCAGUUCAUUAGCAUUGUCAGAAAACCCAAGAAUUUCAGGGAGUUCUUUUUGCAAAAUGCUGCAUUAGAUUAUUUUGCCUCUAAGAUGUAAUGAAAUACAGCCUGAAAAUUCUUAAAAGAAAGUGUUUUAAAGAUCAGUGAGUCCCCAAUUAACACACACACAAAAAAAAAUGGAGGGAGAAAAUAUGUGCUUUCUUUUACAGUA